AUUGAACGCUGGCGGCAUGCCUUACACAUGCAAGUCGAACGGCAGCACGGGGCAACCUGGUGGCGAGUGGCGAACGGGUGAGUAAUGCAUCGGAACGUACCUUUCAGUGGGGGAUAACGUAGCGAAAGUUACGCUAAUACCGCAUAUUCUGUGAGCAGGAAAGCAGGGGAUCGCAAGACCUUGCGCUGAUUGAGCGGCCGAUGUCAGAUUAGCUAGUUGGUGAGGUAAAGGCUCACCAAGGCGACGAUCUGUAGCGGGUCUGAGAGGAUGAUCCGCCACACUGGAGAUGAGACACGGUCCAGACUCCUACGGGAGGCAGCGUUGGGGAAUUUUGGACAAUGGGGGCACCCCUGAUCCAGCCAUGCCGCGUGAGGGAAGAAGGCCUUCGGGUUGUAAAGCUCUUUCGGCCGGGGAGGAAUCGUAUGGGUUAAUACCCUGUGCGGAUGACGGUACCGGCAUAAGAAGCACCGGCUAACUACGUGCCAGCAGCCGCCGUAAAAC
rnacentral:rRNA from 1 species